ACUGUCGCGAAGCUCCCGCCCAAGCCGACCACGUGCCGCGAGCCCGGCGGGGAGAGCCCACUCCCGCGCCCCUUCCGGGCCCACUACCCCGCCGGGCUGUGGCCCAUCGCCCCAGUGCCUGGUAGCCUAGUUUUCUCGUUUGUCGUUUGUUCACUUAUUUAUUAUUAUUAUUAUUAUUUUGACUCGUAAUGGGUAUGAGGUGUAAGGGGGCCUAUUACGGAUGUUAAGGGGAGAGGGCACCGCUCGGGUUUUAAUAAGCAUCUGUGGAGCUCAUUUAUAAGGUGGAGGCAGAUUAAGGAACUUGUUCUUACUGCUAACUGAUAAGUCUGGAGGUUUGAACUCAUUCUGCAAACUCCACGCACCCUAGCUGUUCCACUCUGCAGCAAUGCUGCUGGCUAGACACUGGAAGAUUGGAGCAGAAAGACUUUCGAAACUCUUGGAGGUUAUGAAUACAAGUGUUCCUCUGUUAAAUAAAUCCACAUUUAUCAAGUACCUACCUUAAGCCAGCCACCUUGCAGGUGAGGGCUGGAGGCUAACAGCCUGUUUUAUAGCACCCAAUCCCAGUUAUAUAAAAUUGCUAUCCCUACCCCCCAAAUACACCCCUAUUAAAAAAAAAAAAAGGCUGUAUUGAUGCUGGAAUUUAAGAGCCACUACCAAAAAUACCCCUUUUAAUUUGCUGUUUGACUUCAAAAUCCCGAAAGUGUUCAUGCUUAAAGCAGCAAUUUUCCCCAACCUCACCCCCAAGAGAUUUAGAAAAAGUUAAGUCCAGGGUGGCCCCUGCCCUCCCUCCGCCCCCUCCUCUGUAUUUUUAACAAGACCCCAGGUGACUGAUGAAGUUGCUAGAGAAAUUACGGUGAGUGAAACACUGGCCUAGAGGUAAAGUUAAUUGACCUUCUAAGUUGUGCUCUAUCAAGUACAAAAUCAACUUGGAAGAUUCUGAGAACAGAAUAAGUGAAUUUAGUAGAAGUGAAUGUUCUUCCCCAGGGCCAACACAAUGAAGUCUGAAAUGACACUUUGUUUCUUUUGGGAAGACUUCCCUGACCCCUCUCCCGCCAAGACUGUUCUCCAUGCCAUGUACGUUGUAUGCUGUAGCUCAACACUUAACCAUGUUGCAGUUGCCCACAACUCGUCUGAAUGUCCCACUAUGAAUGGAGUGUCAUAAAUGAAGGGACCAGGUUUAUCUUGCAUGUAAUAGUUUCUCUAGUGCCUGUGACUUAGGGCAAGUCACUUAAACGUUUUUUGAAUUGCCUUAUCUGUAAAAUGGGGCAGUAUUACUUGGAGAGUAAUAUUCAGAAUCUCAAAUAAGAAAAUUAAUAUGGAAUACUUUUAAAAAAUGAAGAAUUAUGUGAAUAAGGGAUUAUUAGGAUUACUAUAAUAACAGUGACAAUUACUAAAUUACUGUUUGCACCCACAGCACCUAACAUUGAACUUGUGAGAAGAGCCUGGACAUAUCUUUUGACUAGCUGAGAAACGUAUUUAUUAUUUAAUAAUUUUAAACCAAUAGAAGCAAGUUACAUUACCUUUAGAAACUGGUGUGGGAGGAGUUUUAUCCCAUGAUAGGAGUUGGCCAAGAGAAUUCUGUCUAUAAUCUCUACUAUGUUAGCAGAGCUAAAAGUGGCAUCAGUUAUUGAAACCCAUUGACAAGCUCCAGAUUUCAUUGACCACAUUCUAACUCUGCUGUAUCAAACCCUUUUAAAUAUGGAGUUUUAGACAGUGCAGUAAAAGGAAACCAGCUGAAAGCAUGGAUAAUUCAUAGGAUGCGUGCAUAGUUAAGGACUGUCUUUUUCCUUAAAUUGUUCUUCUUUAGUUUCUGCUCCAUCUAUAGGUGCUUAUUUUUUCAAUCUCGAAGAUAUUUAGUGCUUUGAAAUUGUUCAGUAAAAUGAUCUCUUAAACAGAAAUGAUUAUUUAAGAAUAGGACUGCUAAGAAACUGAUGGCCUCAGCUUAUGCUAAAAAUUAAACCCUGCUGACAACUGCAGCAGAUAGUUUAAUUUCUAUAAGAGAAUUAUUCAUAUAAGCUUAUUUCUACUGUAAGGAAAUUUAGGUUUCUUAGUGCUAAUUUUGUGUAGUAAUUCCAUACGGCGAUACAGAAGGUAGAGAAGUACAGUGGCACACUACAGUGUUGUCGUAAACUCACACAGCCUCAAGCUGAAUUCUGAUCUUGUAAGCAUGGUGCCUAUCUUUACACAGUACUACAAGCUAUAACUUAUAAACCUGAAUAGCAACAUCUAACAAUGAGAGAUUAUAGUACUUUUGAACUGUGCAUUUGUGUAACAAAAUUUCAAAUUACCCAUUUACAUUAAAAAUAUAUUUUUGAACUAUAGCUUAUCUACUCAAUUACUGUUACACUAAACCUUUCAAAUCAUUCCUGUUACAUUAUUAACUGAUUAAUGCUUUGCUGAUGACCUUCAAAACACAGUAUCACUUUGAUCUAAUCCACCUACUUGCUCAAAUUUUCUAAUUUUUAUACUCACACUGCAUCUGAGAAAAUUAACUUGUUAGUGUCUCCUGAUCACCUUACAUGUAUAUCUUAAUUCUUCCUCUUUCCUAUCUUAGUGUUUUGGGUUUUUUUUUUUUUUUAAGACAGAGUUUCGACCUUGUUGCCCAGGCUGGAGUGCAAUGGUGCGAUCUCGGCUCACUGCAACCUCCCCCUCCCGGGUUCAAGCGAUUCUCCUGCCUCCGCAGGAGGCCUCCGGAGUAGCUAGGCCUCUGGAGUAGUAGGCUGAGGCCUCCGGAGUAGCUAGGAUUACAGGCGCCCGCCACCACGCCAGGCUAAUUUUUGUAUUUUUAGUAGAGAUGGGGUUUCACCAUGUUGACCAGACUAGUCUCUAACUCCUGACGUGGUGAUCGCCUGCCUUGGCCUCCCAAAGUGCUGGAAUUACAGGCGUGAGCCACUGCACCCGGCCUCCUAUCCUAGUGUUUUUAACCUUCCUUAAAAUCUAGUCACCAUUCUUCUCCACCUACCACCAGAACUGUACAGAUGGAGGUGGCGUAUGCAUGUUGUGACCAUGGGGUGGAAAGCCACAUGACAAGAAUAGUGGAGCAGACGGAUAGGGACCCGGGUCCCUGAUGACCUUGUAUGUAGCCGUUCCAGACCUGGACUGUGCACUUCUGGACUCUGGUGACAUGCAGGGAAAAAAAAAUGAAACAAACAAAAAAACACGUUUAGGUAAACCACUGUAGUUGUGAUUUUGUUAUAUGUAGCUGAAUAUAAUCCUAACUCAUGCAAAAUCUGAAUUAGAAGUUAGUGGUUUCUCAUAAUUUCUCCCAACUACAGGCUUCCCUUGGGAGACAAUUUUCUGGGUUUCUGAAUAUCUUGAGAACAGAGGUGCUGGCUUUGUCUGAAACUAUCUUUUCAGUGAUGUUUUUGUAGUGAACAGCGUUCCAAGAUAGAGAAAAUGACUCCUUCUGGAGCAAAGAACAAGCAUGAUUACUACCCAUUAUAAAAAAAUCAGGUUCUCUAAGUACUAUACUGUACUUUACUGUACUAUACUAUACUACACUACACUACACUACACUACACUACACUACACUACACUACACUAUGCUGCAGUCCAUUGCCAGUACAAGUAUUAUGUGGCAUCUUCAUGUUGGCAUAUGGGAAUUGGGGUUCAGAACAGCAGCACAAAAAUUAAUACUGUUGCUCUGGUCACUGCUAUUGCCAUGAGUAAUAAAUUAUCCCUUAACACAGGAGUCUUGAGUCUAAUACUAGCAUGAUGAAACUGUGGCUGACUAGCUUGUUAGCUUGCAAAUAGGGUAAAAUUUCAGAUUGUUUACGGAACCCAGAAUAGACUACAUAGCCCUCAGAUGACUGUGGGGAGCCCUCUGAAAUAAGGCCACCCUUAGUUAUUUGGUGGAACUUUCCAGAGGGCAGACUCAUUUGUGUGCACUUUGUGGUUGGUUGUCCCAACGAUGGGAGUCAGAUAAUUAGAAAAGGUGGUAAGAAAUUUGUCCCUGAGGCUGGGCGCAGUGGCUCACGCCUGUAAUCCCAGCACUUUGGGAGGCCAAGGCGGAUGGAUCAUGAGGUCAGGAGAUCGAGACCAUCCUGGUCAACAUGUUGAAACCUCGUCUCUCCUAAAAUACAAAAAAUCAGCCAGGCGUGGUGAUGCAGGCCUGUAGUUGCGGCUACUCAGGAGGCUGAGGCAGGGGAAUUGCUUGAACCUGGGAGGUGGAGGUUGCAGUGAGCCGUGAUCACAGCACUGCACUCCAGCCUGGCGACAGAGCGAGACUCCAUCUCAAAAAAAAAAAAAAAAGAAAAGAAAAGAAAAGAAAAAAGAAAAGAAAUUUGUCCCUGAGUUCAGCUGAAGUGAUUAAUGAUACCACCUGGGCCUUAGAAGGUAGUCAGCUCCAACUCAACUCACUGACCAGAAUUGUUAUAGAUGAUAGAAUUGCAACAGAUGUCAGAUUCUAAAUCGUCCCUAAAACAUCCAGCUAUACCUGGAUUAAUGCCGCAAACCAAGUAGAAAGGUCAAAUGAGAGCCUUAAGGAGAAAGCCACUGACUUUCCAAGGUAGACCCUGUUGGUUUGUGGUAUUCAGAACUCUGGGUGUCAUGAUUAAGGUCAAUACUUUGUCCUGCUGCUUGUAUUGUUGAUAGUCCCUUAAUUAAGUGCUAUACAAGACAAAUGGAAUUAAGCCUCUAUACAUCAGAUUAAUCACAGUGGUCAAUGGAGUCACAUAUUCAUGUGAAAUUUUGAGUUCUGCCAAGAACGUUUAAGGGUGGAUGGUUAGAAGAGGAAGAUCUGUCUUGGUCCUGAGUGUCCCUGCAUAAUUUUGCUAAGUAUGCCAGAUUGCAAGUCUUAUCUGUCUCCUGAGACUGAGCAUUUUUGCAGCUAGACACAUAGACAAUUAAGUGGGUCAGGGUAACUGUACAAUGACUCUCGUGUAACUGCUCACCAUCAGGGUAAGGGAGAUUGGCUUGUUUGCUGCUUGUUCAAGAAAUUUGGACCCUUGGAUCUGGGUUUCUCUUUUGCAGUGCAACCCACUAAGUGUGCAGGUGGCAUUUGGGUCCAUUACAUAUUCCCUGUGGGAGUUGGGGGCAAGAGGAACUGACAAAUAUGCUGAUGCUCAUGCUGCUUUCUGUGCUAUAAGCAAUAAAGUACUUUGUCUCCUAACUAGGAUUUUUGUGACUUCUGCCAGCAUCCAUGAAACCAGCAGAUUAAUUUAUUAGCUUACAAGAAGGGUAAAAGUUUAAAUGCUUUACAGUUCAUGACAAAAGGUAGUCAUCCCUCCCUCAGUAAACAUGAAGGCUUGGUUCUAGAACCUGCUGCAUAUAUCAAAAUCCAUGCAUACUCAAGUCCCACUGUUGAUCCUGUGGAACCCGAGUGUAAAAAAAGCUGGCCCUCCAUAUACAUGGGUUUUACAUCCGGGGAAUGCUGCAUUUGGUUGAAAUGGAAUCCCACAUGGUUCAAACCUGUUUUGUUCAAGGGUCAACUGUAAUGCCAAAGCAUUGUAAGCAAUGAGAAUUUUUUUAUACUAUAAACCCAC
rnacentral:lncRNA from 1 species